rfam:Homo sapiens chromosome 3, GRCh38 reference primary assembly.
GCUGGGCGUGGUGGUGCGUGCCUGUAAUCCCAGCUACUCAGGAGGCUGAGGCAGAAGAAUCACUUGAAUCCAGGAGGUGGAGGUUGCAUUGAGCUGAGAUCAUGCCACUGCACUCUAGCCUGGGCAACAGAGUGAGACUCUGUCUCAA